UACGUAGGGUGCGAGCGUUAAUCGGAAUUACUGGGCGUAAAGCGUGCGCAGGCGGUCUGUUAAGACCGAUGUGAAAUCCCCGGGCUUAACCUGGGAACUGCAUUGGUGACUGGCAGGCUUUGAGUGUGGCAGAGGGAGGUAGAAUUCCACGUGUAGCAGUGAAAUGCGUAGAGAUGUGGAGGAAUACCGAUGGCGAAGGCAGCCGUC
rnacentral:rRNA from 1 species